rnacentral:tRNA from 1 species
GGAGAGGUGUCCGAGCGGUUUAAGGAGAAGGUCUUGAAAACCUUUGUUACUGUAAGGUAACCGUGGGUUCGAAUCCCACCCUCUCCG